AGUGAACGCUGGCGGCGUGCUUAACACAUGCAAGUCGAACGAGAACGGGUUAUGGCUUGCUGUAAUUGUCAGCUAAGUGGCGCACGGGUGAGUAAUGUAUAGGUAAUAUGCCUCUUACUAAGGGAUAACAAAUGGAAACGUUUGCUAAUACCUUAUACUCCUUAUUAACAGAAGUUAAUAAGGGAAAGAUUUAUUGGUAAGAGAUUAGCCUGUAUUGUAUCAGUUAGUUGGUGAGGUAAUGGCUUACCAAGACUAUGACACAUAACUGGUUUGAGAGGAUGAUCAGUCACACUGGAACUGAGACACGGUCCAGACUCAGACGGGAGGCAGCAGUGGGGAAUAUUGCACAAUGGACGAAAGUCUGAUGCAGCAACGCCGCGUGGAGGAUGACACAUUUCGGUGCGUAAACUCCUUUUAUAUGAGAAGAUAAUGACGGUAUUAUAUGAAUAAGCACCGGCUAACUCCGUGCCAGCCGCCGCCGUAA
rnacentral:rRNA from 1 species